GACGAACGCUGGCGGCGUGCCUAAUACAUGCAAGUAGAACGCUGAAGGAGGAGCUUGCUCUUCUGGAUGAGUUGCGAACGGGUGAGUAACGCGUAGGUAACCUGCCUGGUAGCGGGGGAUAACUAUUGGAAACGAUAGCUAAUACCGCAUAAUAGUAGAUGUUGCAUGACAUUUGCUUAAAAGGUGCAAUUGCAUCACUACCAGAUGGACCUGCGUUGUAUUAGCUAGUUGGUGAGGUAACGGCCCACCAAGGCGACGAUACAUAGCCGACCUGAGAGGGUGAUCGGCCACACUGGGACUGAGACACGGCCCAGACUCCUACGGGAGGCAGCAGUAGGGAAUCUUCGGCAAUGGACGGAAGUCUGACCGAGCAACGCCGCGUGAGUGAAGAAGGUUUUCGGAUCGUAAAGCUCUGUUGUAAGAGAAGAACGA
rnacentral:rRNA from 1 species